rnacentral:miRNA from 1 species
AGCUUCCUGUGUCUCCCCUAG